rnacentral:rRNA from 1 species
AAUGAACGUUGGCGGCGUGGAUUAGGCAUGCAAGUCGUGCGAGAAGUCUUUUGCUUGCAUUAGACGGAAAGCGGCGAAAGGGAGAGUAACGCGUGGGUACCUACCUCUAGGUUCGGGAUAGCUGCGGGAGACUGUGGGUAAUACCGAAUAACAUCUCCGGAUCAAAGGUGUGAUUCCGCCUGGAGACGGGCCCGCGUCCUAUUAGCUUGUUGGUGGGGUAAUGGCUUACCAAGGCAAUGAUGGGUAUCGGGCGUGAGAGCGUGACCCGACUCACUGGGACUGAGACACUGCCCAGACACCUACGGGUGGCUGCAGUCGAGAAUCUUCGGCAAUGGGCGCAAGCCUGACCGAGCGACGCCGCGUGCGGGAUGAAGGCCCUCGGGUUGUAAACCGCUGUCAGUUGGGAGGAAAUCACAUGGGGUUCUCUCCAUGUGUUGACCUAUCUUCAGAGGAAGGACGGGCUAAGUUCGUGCCAGCCGCCGCGGUAAGAC